rnacentral:lncRNA from 1 species
AGAGUAGUAGAUCACUGUAGAAAAUUGAUCGAUAGUGAGGCCCAGAGGGCAUUUAGAGCAGUCCGGUAGAUGAAUGGAGGAGCUCAUUAUUAGAGAAGUCCGGAUGGCACGAUAGGAGUUCGUCCAUUGGAGAAAUUUGGAGGACACUGUGGAAGGCCGACUGCUGGAGGAGUCUGGACGGUACUGUGGAAGCUCGGAUGGCCGGGGGAGUUCACAAAGAUGCCGCACA